rnacentral:rRNA from 1 species
CUUAACUUCGGGAUUGCCAUUGAAACUGUCACUCUUGAGUGCAGUCGGAGACGGCGGAAUGAGUUAUGUAGCGGUGAAAUGCAUAGAUAUAACUCAGAACACCAAUCGCGAAGGCAGCUGUCUAGACUGCUACUGACGCUGAGGCACGAAAGCGUGGGGAGCAAACAGGACUAGAUACCCUGGUAGUCCACGCUGUAAACUAUGAUCACUCGCUGUUGGCGAUAUACAGUCAGCGGCUGAGCGAAAGCAUUAAGUGAUCCACCUGGGGAGUACGUCGGCAACGAUGAAACUCAAAGGAAUUGACGGGGGCCCGCACAAGCGGAGGAACAUGUGGUUUAAUUCGAUGAUACGCGAGGAACCUUACCUGGGCUUAAAUGCAGACUGCAUUGGGGGGAAACUCCCAUUUCCUUCGGGACUG